CAAGCCAUAUGCCUUAACCUAAUAAAAGGUUUUGGUUCAUAUGCUUCACACACAACAGCCUCGAUUCUUCUCUCGUCGCUUCCUCAGGCGACUCGUCGUCAACUUUAAUCGCCAGAUACCGUCGCACCCAACAAUACCGAUGACCAUCGUACACCACAUAUUCGAUUCAGGAACAUACAUAUUUUUUUGAAUGAUAUCAGAUCUGCACCAAGAUCUUAGGUCAGGUGGUUUUGUUUGGCUAGCAAUGAGUCAAGAUUUAUCAACACCUAUCACCUUUGACUGCAAACAUGAUUCUUCUACUCUUGUAUUGGUCCAUUGGUAUGCAACUUCUUAAGGUUUAUUUUUUAAAAAUUUCGACAUUCUUGCCAAACACUUCAGGGUGAUUGCAAUUCAUCAACUAGGGUCAAUUCAUUACAUAAUCUUUGACCAAAUUUUGAAUAUUAUUGUAGGUAUUUUGUAUCUUUUUAAAUACUUUCAAUUUCUAGCUUACUUCUUGUAGUUUUGUA